AUCUGGUAAAAUCUAAAGGGAAGACAGAGUAGAAGAAGCAUUACCCAAGGAGACCGUUCGUGCUGCAGAAGGCAUCCGCUUCAGCAGGAGCACAAGAAAGCCUGAACUCACCAAAUGGCAGUGGUCUUCUGAGUAUUCCACAUCUGAACGCCACAGAAAGAGGGAGAGAAACAGUCCAUUAAAACAACAGCCACGGUUUCACAUUCUCAGGACCAGAAACAGAUCUAAAUGCUUUCCUCCACUCUCUCAGAGAAUUACCUGGCAACCACUCAAUCUCAUCUUUGUGACAGUACAUCCGAGAGAGGCAAAAAGUGAUGCUUUAUAAAGUGGGGUGAGAACAAAAGGUUAAUAGCAUUAUGUCUGUUACCUGAAGUAAAAUUUGCUAUCUUCUUAAAAACUUUUAUAGAGGAUCCAUUUGAUAUCUGAAAGCAAAGAUAAAAAAUAGAUGAGUUUUCAAAAUUUGAUGUAUUUCUCAACUUUACCCAGGAAUUAGAUGGCUGGGUGGAUCUUACAUUCUCUCACUUAUUCUAUCAAAUAUUUAUUAAGAAUUCCUAUGUUUUGGGCACUGGAGGCUGGGGCUAUAAUGAUAAGCAAGACACUGUCUCUGCCCUCAAAGAGUCUGCGGUCCUGUGAAGGUGGCA